rnacentral:lncRNA from 1 species
UUCAAAACUUUCUUAACGAGAAAAAAAACGAGUGACUCAGGAAUGACACUAUAGAGGGCUAGUCUUCAAAUAUUACUUUUGUCUUUAAUGUGUUUAAAAAUAACUCACAUACCUGCAUAUACUUGUUGUUUGUCAGGGAUAUCUUUAUCGGAUGGGUAAAUUUUAAGCUAUAUUUACGCAACUUAUAUGGAUGGUUGUUCACAAACUUUACCCCGGUUGACAUAACAUUGUGAUUGUUCAAUUUGUUCAAUAUGUCAUCAAACUCCG